rnacentral:misc_RNA from 1 species
GAUGAAGAACGUAGCGAAAUGCGAUAAGUAAUGUGAAUUGCAGAAUUCAGUGAAUCAUCGAAUCUUUGAACGCACAUUGCGCCCCUUGGUAUUCCGAGGGGCAUGCCUGUUCGAGCGUCAUUAUAACCCCUCAAGCUCAGCUUGGUGUUGGGGCCUGCCGCACGGGCAGCCCUUAAAAUCAGUGGCGGUGCCAUCUGGCUCUAAGCGUAGUAAUUCUUCUCGCUAUAGAGUCCCGGUGGAUGCUUGCCAUUAACCCCCAAUUUUCUAUGGUUGACCUCGGAUCAGGUAGGGAUACCCGCUGAACUUAAGCAUAUCAAUAAGCGGAGA